rnacentral:rRNA from 1 species
CAAGCUGGGAACGUNCGCGCAUUACUAGGCCCAGGUGUGGUUAUAACUGNUGGCAUUUAUCNAGACACUACCACAACCNCACGGACCCCAGCGGUAGCGGGUUUAAAAAGCAACGGACAGACCCAUAGGCNGGCNAGGGGGACAGAGCAGGCACAGGCACCACCACGAAAGNACCGACAGCAGCAGCCAGCNAAGCAGCACGACACCAGGAAGAGCGCCGANCAACACGAUGGGUACACAAGUACNAGCANAAGACGAACACGGGAAAAAGGACACCACAUAGAAGCCAGACGACAGAGAGGGAAACANUAAGCAGAAAGACANAUAGCAGNCAGAGCGAGGAGCGAACAACGCGAACNACCGAACGCAGNGNA